AAACACUUAUAUAAUGUUGACAGGAAAUGGAAGAAAAGCAAGAGGAGGCACAUAAUUUUUUUUAUUUAAAUUUCACCUCCUUUGGUAAAAAAAAAUAGAGUGAAAGGAAAGGAAAAUGAGGAAGCUAAAAUCCUUGCCUUCUUAUCGUUGUCUCCUCUUCACUACUAUUGGAGAAAUUUAGAUUGGAGAUCUUGUGUUAAAAGAUGUCUUUGUGAUCACUAGUUAGGGUGGAGGAUAUUUAUAAACUGAUUUUAGUUUCAACUCUUUAGAAAUAUGAGACUUUUUUGUGUAUCGGAAGAACAAUAUAAUAUUU
rnacentral:lncRNA from 1 species